CAGGAAAUGUUACAGUCUCUUUAACGAC
rnacentral:piRNA from 1 species